rnacentral:rRNA from 1 species
AUUGAACGCUGGCGGCAGGCCUAACACAUGCAAGUCGAGCGGAGCGGCGGACGGGUGCGUAAUGCCUAGGAAUCUGCCUGGUAGUGGGGGAUAACGUCCGGAAACGGGCGCUAAAACCGCAUACUCUCAGAUGAGCCUAGGUCGGAUUAGCGAGAUGGUGGGGUAAAGGCCUACCACGGCGACGAGCCGUAACUGGUCUGAGAGGAUUAUCAGUCACACUGGAAUUGAGACACGGUCCAGACUCCGACGGGAGGCAGCAGUGGGGAAUAUUGGACAAUGGGCGAAAGCCUGAUCCAGCCAUGCCGCGUGUUUGAAGAAGGCCUUCGGGUUGUAAAGCACUUUCAGCGGGGAGGCGUUACCCGCAGAAGAAGCACCGGCUAACUCCGUGCCAGCCGCCGCGGUAAUAC